AGUGAACGCUGGCGGUAGGCCUAACACAUGCAAGUCGAACGGCAGCACAGUAAGAGCUUGCUCUUACGGGUGGCGAGUGGCGGACGGGUGAGGAAUACAUCGGAAUCUACUUUUUCGUGGGGGAUAACGUAGGGAAACUUACGCUAAUACCGCAUACGACCUACGGGUGAAAGCAGGGGAUCUUCGGACCUUGCGCGAAUGAAUGAGCCGAUGUCGGAUUAGCUAGUUGGCGGGGUAAAGGCCCACCAAGGCGACGAUCCGUAGCUGGUUUGAGAGGAUGAUCAGCAACACUGGAACUGAGACACGGUCCAGACUCCUACGGGAGGCACAAGUGGGGAAUAUUGGACAAUGGGCGCAAGCCUGAUCCAGCCAUACGGCUGUGUGGAAGAAGGCUUUCGGUUUGUAAAGACUUUAUGUUGGGAAAGAAAAGCAGCAGGUUAAUACCCCGCUGUGCUGACGGUACCCAAAGAAUAAGCACCGGCUAACUUCGUG
rnacentral:rRNA from 1 species